rnacentral:rRNA from 1 species
UGAGAGGGUGACCGGCCACACUGGGACUGAGACACGGCCCAGACUCCUACGGGAGGCAGCAGUGGGGAAUAUUGCACAAUGGGCGCAAGCCUGAUGCAGCGACGCCGCGUGAGGGAUGACGGCCUUCGGGUUGUAAACCUCUUUCGCCAGGGACGAAGCGCAAGUGACGGUACCUGGAUAAGAAGCACCGGCUAACUACGUGCCAGCAGCCGCGGUAAUACGUAGGGUGCGAGCGUUGUCCGGAUUUAUUGGGCGUAAAGAGCUCGUAGGCGGUUUGUCGCGUCGGCCGUGAAAUCUCCACGCUUAACGUGGAGCGUGCGGUCGAUACGGGCAGACUUGAGUUCGGUAGGGGAGACUGGAAUUCCUGGUGUAGCGGUGAAAUGCGCAGAUAUCAGGAGGAACACCGGUGGCGAAGGCGGGUCUCUGGGCCGAUACUGACGCUGAGGAGCGAAAGCGUGGGGAGCGAACAGGAUUAGAUACCCCGGUAGUCCACGCUGUAAACGUUGGGCGCUAGGUGUGGGCGACAUCCACGUUGUCCGUGCCGUAGCUAACGCAUUAAGCGCCCCGCCUGGGGAGUACGG